rnacentral:lncRNA from 1 species
CAAAAAUGUAGAAAAAUCACUGUACAUGAAGCCAAUUGGUAAAUGUGUUUUUGUUUUUUUUUUUUUUUUUUUUGUGGUUCUAUAGAUGGUGGGCUGUAAUUCCACAAGAAUAUAAACCCUUGGGAAAAUAAAAAGAGAAGAAUUGAGUUCAGUUUAUUGGGAUCUAUCCAAUCUGUAGCAUAUCAUAAUUUUUCAGCAAAUUCCAUGAAGCUACAUUUUUUUUAAAAAAAAAUUCAACUCAAAGGGGAAAUGUAUGUAUUUAUUUUUUCCACUGCUGAUGGUUCAUUUGAGAAUUAGAUUUAUCAUGAGAUAACACUCAACCUUUUAUUGGUCAUCUCAAAGUGAAACACAAACGUGUUAUAAACAAAUCUCCAUUAUUGAAUUAAUAAGUGUCUCACUCUUUACUCUUCUAUUUAGGAGCCUUAACAUCUAUCUGUUGGCACUUCAUCCACUAAUAAGAAGGUGGUUACUUCAUGAUUUUAUAAAUUCAAUACGAUCUAAAUUUCUGGGUUUUGUGUAUUAGUUAUUUUAUUACUCAAUUAAUUUUUAAAAAUAUAGUUUAGUUCACAUAAAAUUCAUGUAAUUGUGAGAUGACCCAGUGAGGAUAUGAAUUCAGGUCCCCAGAAAUUACAUAAGCAGCCAAGAUCAC